ACCUUCUUGGUGUAGUGGUCAGCACGCUCGGCGGGUAUUCGAGAGGUCCGUGGUUCGAAUCCCGGCGAGGGCA
rnacentral:tRNA from 1 species